GGGGGAACCCUGAUCCAGCCAUGCCGCGUGUGUGAAGAAGGCCUUUUGGUUGUAAAGCACUUUAAGCGAGGAGGAGGCUUACCUAGUUAAUACCUGGGAUAAGUGGACGUUACUCGCAGAAUAAGCACCGGCUAACUCUGUGCCAGCAGCCGCGGUAAUACAGAGGGUGCGAGCGUUAAUCGGAUUUACUGGGCGUAAAGCGUGCGUAGGCGGCUUUUUAAGUCGGAUGUGAAAUCCCCGAGCUUAACUUGGGAAUUGCAUUCGAUACUGGGAAGCUAGAGUAUGGGAGAGGAUGGUAGAAUUCCAGGUGUAGCGGUGAAAUGCGUAGAGAUCUGGAGGAAUACCGAUGGCGAAGGCAGCCAUCUGGCCUAAUACUGACGCUGAGGUACGAAAGCAUGGGGAGCAAACAGGAUUAGAUACCCUGGUAGUCCAUGCCGUAAACGAUGUCUACUAGCCGUUGGGGCCUUUGAGGCUUUAGUGGCGCAGCUAACGCGAUAAGUAGACCGCCUGGGG
rnacentral:rRNA from 1 species